rnacentral:rRNA from 1 species
CAUAGGUUAAUGAGGCGAACCGGGGGAACUGAAACAUCUAAGUACCCCGAGGAAAAGAAAUCAACCGAGAUUCCCCCAGUAGCGGCGAGCGAACGGGGAGCAGCCCAGAGCCUGAAUCAGUGUGUGUGUUAGUGGAAGCGUCUGGAAAGGCGCGCGAUACAGGGUGACAGCCCCGUACACAAAAAUGCACAUGCUGUGAGCUCGAUGAGUAGGGCGGGACACGUGGUAUCCUGUCUGAAUAUGGGGGGACCAUCCUCCAAGGCUAAAUACUCCUGACUGACCGAUAGUGAACCAGUACCGUGAGGGAAAGGCGAAAAGAACCCCGGCGAGGGGAGUGAAAAAGAACCUGAAACCGUGUACGUACAAGCAGUGGGAGCCUCUUUAUGGGGUGACUGCGUACCUUUUGUAUAAUGGGUCAGCGACUUAUAUUCUGUAGCAAGGUUAACCGAAUAGGGGAGCCGAAGGGAAACCGAGUCUUAACUGGGCGUUAAGUUGCAGGGUAUAGACCCGAAACCCGGUGAUCUAGCCAUGGGCAGGUUGAAGGUUGGGUAACACUAACUGGAGGACCGAACCGACUAAUGUUGAAAAAUUAGCGGAUGACUUGUGGCUGGGGGUGAAAGGCCAAUCAAACCGGGAGAUAGCUGGUUCUCCCCGAAAGCUAUUUAGGUAGCGCCUCGUGAAUUCAUCUCCGGGGGUAGAGCACUGUUUCGGCAAGGGGGUCAUCCCGACUUACCAACCCGAUGCAAACUGCGAAUACCGGAGAAUGUUAUCACGGGAGACACACGGCGGGUGCUAACGUCCGUCGUGAAGAGGGAAACAACCCAGACCGCCAGCUAAGGUCCCAAAGUCAUGGUUAAGUGGGAAACGAUGUGGGAAGGCCCAGACAGCCAGGAUGUUGGCUUAGAAGCAGCCAUCAUUUAAAGAAAGCGUAAUAGCUCACUGGUCGAGUCGGCCUGCGCGGAAGAUGUAACGGGGCUAAACCAUGCACCGAAGCUGCGGCAGCGACGCUUAUGCGUUGUUGGGUAGGGGAGCGUUCUGUAAGCCUGUGAAGGUGUGCUGUGAGGCAUGCUGGAGGUAUCAGAAGUGCGAAUGCUGACAUAAGUAACGAUAAAGCGGGUGAAAAGCCCGCUCGCCGGAAGACCAAGGGUUCCUGUCCAACGUUAAUCGGGGCAGGGUGAGUCGACCCCUAAGGCGAGGCCGAAAGGCGUAGUCGAUGGGAAACAGGUUAAUAUUCCUGUACUUGGUGUUACUGCGAAGGGGGGACGGAGAAGGCUAUGUUGGCCGGGCGACGGUUGUCCCGGUUUAAGCGUGUAGGCUGGUUUUCCAGGCAAAUCCGGAAAAUCAAGGCUGAGGCGUGAUGACGAGGCACUACGGUGCUGAAGCAACAAAUGCCCUGCUUCCAGGAAAAGCCUCUAAGCAUCAGGUAACAUCAAAUCGUACCCCA